rnacentral:rRNA from 1 species
CUACGUGCCAGCAGCCGCGGUAAUACGUAGGGUGCGAGCGUUAAUCGGAAUUACUGGGCGUAAAGCGAGCGCAGACGGUUACUUAAGCAGGAUGUGAAAUCCCCGGGCUCAACCUGGGAACUGCGUUCUGAACUGGGUGACUAGAGUGUGUCAGAGGGAGGUAGAAUUCCACGUGUAGCAGUGAAAUGCGUAGAGAUGUGGAGGAAUACCGAUGGCGAAGGCAGCCUCCUGGGAUAACACUGACGUUCAUGCUCGAAAGCGUGGGUAGCAAACAGGAUUAGAUACCCUGGUAGUCCACGCCCUAAACGAUGUCAAUUAGCUGUUGGACAACUUGAUUGCUUAGUAGCGUAGCUAACGCGUGAAAUUGACCGCCUGGGGAGUACGGUCGCAAGAUUAAAACUCAAAGGAAUUGACGGGGACCCGCACAAGCGGUGGAUGAUGUGGAUUAAUUCGAUGCAACGCGAAGAACCUUACCUGGUCUUGACAU